UACAGAGGGUGCGAGCGUUGUCCGGAAUCACUGGGCGUAAAGGGCGCGUAGGUGGUGGCUUAAGCGUGCGGUGAAAGCUCGGGGCUCAACUCCGAGUCGGCCGUGCGAACUGGGCUCACUGGAGCAUAGUAGAGGCAGGUGGAAUUCCGGGUGUAGCGGUGGAAUGCGUAGAGAUCCGGAAGAACACCGGUGGCGAAGGCGGUCUGCUGGGGUAAUGCUGACACUGAUGCGCGACAGCGUGGGGAGCAAACAGG
rnacentral:rRNA from 1 species